rnacentral:rRNA from 1 species
GUAGGUGGCAAGCGUUGUCCGGAAUUAUUGGGCGUAAAGCGCGCGCAGGCGGUCCUUUAAGUCUGAUGUGAAAGCCCACGGGCUCAACCGUGGAGGGUCAUUGGAAACUGGGGGACUUGAGUACAGAAGAGGAAAGCGGAAUUCCAAGUGUAGCGGUGAAAUGCGUAGAGAUUUGGAGGAACACCAGUGGCGAAGGCGGCUUUCUGCUCUGUAACUGACGCUGAGGCGCGAAAGCGUGGGGAGCAAACAGGAUUAGAUACCCUGGUAGUCCACGCCGUAAACGAUGAGUGCUAAGUGUUAGGGGGUUUCCGCCCCUUAGUGCUGCAGCUAACGCAUUAAGCACUCCGCCUGGGGAGUACGGCCGCAAAGGCUG